UGAUUGGAAGGAAUCCCUUCCAAUCAAUGAGGUAUCUGCAACUCAUCAAACAGAGGGGGUUCCUUCUGGUCAAUGAGGUGCAAAUACCUUAUUGACUGGAAGGGAUUCCUUCCAGUCA
rnacentral:miRNA from 1 species